rnacentral:rRNA from 1 species
CCUUGGUUUCUUGGGUUGAGUGCUGGGCAAAGUGUUUAGCGCUCCCGGAUGGGCCCGCGUCCCAUUAGCUAGUUGGUGGGGUAACGGCCUACCAAGGCGACGAUGGGUAGCCGGUCUGAGAGGAUGGUCGGCCACACUGGGACUGAGACACGGCCCAGACUCCUACGGGAGGCAGCAGUGGGGAAUUUUGCGCAAUGGGGGAAACCCUGACGCAGCGACGCCGCGUGGGUGAUGAAGGCCUUCGGGUCGUAAAGCCCUGUCUGGGGGGAAGAUAGUGACGGUACCCCCGGAGGAAGCCCCGGCUAACUAC